rnacentral:rRNA from 1 species
CGAACCGUCCAAACGUUGUUCGGAAUCACUGGGCUUAAAGGGCGCGUAGGCGGGCUCCCAAGUCGGUGGUGAAAUCUUUCGGCCCAACCGGAAAAGUGCCGCCGAUACUGGGAGCCUCGAGGGAGGUAGGGGUCGAGGGAACUUCCGGUGGAGCGGUGAAAUGCGUAGAUAUCGGAAGGAACGCCGGUGGCGAAAGCGCUCGACUGGACCUCUGCUGACGCUGAGGCGCGAAAGCCAGGGGAGCAAACGGGAUUAGAUACCCCGGUAGUCCUGGCCCUAAACGAUGGGUACCAGAUUGUGGACUGGACAUGGGUUCACAGUCGAGGAAAAAUUGUUAAGUACCCCGCCUGGGGAGUAUGGUCGCAAGGCUG